rnacentral:rRNA from 1 species
UGGCGAACGGGUGAGUAACACGUGAGUAACCUGCCCUUAACUCUGGGAUAAGCCUGGGAAACUGGGUCUAAUACCGGAUAUGACUCCUCAUCGCAUGGUGGGGGGUGGAAAGCUUUAUUGUGGUUUUGGAUGGACUCGCGGCCUAUCAGCUUGUUGGUGAGGUAAUGGCUCACCAAGGCGACGACGGGUAGCCGGCCUGAGAGGGUGACCGGCCACACUGGGACUGAGACACGGCCCAGACUCCUACGGGAGGCAGCAGUGGGGAAUAUUGCACAAUGGGCGAAAGCCUGAUGCAGCGACGCCGCGUGAGGGAUGACGGCCUUCGGGUUGUAAACCUCUUUCAGUAGGGAAGAAGCGAAAGUGACGGUACCUGCAGAAGAAGCGCCGGCUAACUACGUGCCAGCAGCCGCGGUAAUACGUAGGGCGCAAGCGUUAUCCGGAAUUAUUGGGCGUAAAGAGCUCGUAGGCGGUUUGUCGCGUCUGCCGUGAAAGUCCGGGGCUCAACUCCGGAUCUGCGGUGGGUACGGGCAGACUAGAGUGAUGUAGGGGAGACUGGAAUUCCUGGUGUAGCGGUGAAAUGCGCAGAUAUCAGGAGGAACACCGAUGGCGAAGGCAGGUCUCUGGGCAUUAACUGACGCUGAGGAGCGAAAGCAUGGGGAGCG